CACAUGCAGUCGAGCGGUAACAGGAGAAGCUUGCUUCUCGCUGACGAGCGGCGGACGGGUGAGUAAUACUUAGGAAUCUACCUAGUAGUGGGGGAUAGCUCGGGGAAACUCGAAUUAAUACCGCAUACGACCUACGGGAGAAAGGGGGCAACUUGUUGCUCUCGCUAUUAGAUGAGCCUAAGUCGGAUUAGCUAGUUGGUGGGGUAAAGGCCUACCAAGGCGACGAUCUGUAGCUGGUCUGAGAGGAUGAUCAGCCACACCGGGACUGAGACACGGCCCGGACUCCUACGGGAGGCAGCAGUGGGGAAUAUUGGACAAUGGGGGCAACCCUGAUCCAGCCAUGCCGCGUGUGUGAAGAAGGCCUUUUGGUUGUAAAGCACUUUAAGCAGUGAAGAAGACUCUAUGGUUAAUACCCAUAGACGAUGACAUUAGCUGCAGAAUAAGCACCGGCUAACUCUGUGCCAGCAGCCGCGGUAAUACAGAGGGUGCAAGCGUUAAUCGGAAUUACUGGGCGUAAAGCGAGCGUAGGUGGCUUGAUAAGUCAGAUGUGAAAGCCCCGGGCUUAACCUGGGAACGGCAUCUGAUACUGUUAGGCUAGAGUAGGUGAGAGGAAGGUAGAAUUCCAGGUGUAGCGGUGAAAUGCGUAGAGAUCUGGAGGAAUACCGAUGGCGAAGGCA
rnacentral:rRNA from 1 species